GACGAACGCUGGCGGUGUGCCUAACACAUGCAAGUCGAACGGCAAGGCCCUGCGUGUGUGCUGUGCUCGAGUGGCGAACGGGGGAGUAACACGUGAGUAACCGGCUCUUCACUUUCGGAUAACUUCAGGAAACGGGGGCUACUCCAGUACAGGAUCCCCUCCUGCAUGGUGGGGGUUGGAAAGUUGCGGCGUUUGGGGAUGGAUUCGCGGCUUAUCGGCUUGCUGGUGGGUGAGUGGCUUACCCAGGCUGUGACGGGUAGCCGGCCUGUGAGGGUGACCGGCGACAUUGGGACUGAGAUACGGCGCAGACGCCUAUGGGGGGCAAUGGGGGGAAGUCUUGCACAGUGAGAGGGAGUCUGUGACGAAGACGCCGCGUGCGGGAAGCCGGCCUGCGGGUUGUAAAACGCUGUCGCCUAUGACGAAGCGUGAGUGACGGUAAUGAGUAAAGAAGCACCGGCUAACUACGUG
rnacentral:rRNA from 1 species